rnacentral:lncRNA from 1 species
UAAAGAAUACAGUGGUCGUUGACAGGUAACAUGGAAGUUAAAGCAUCUGUUCAUUCCCCAGCACCACCACCACCAACACACACACAUAUACAUACACGAGAGAGCCCACAAAGCUAGUAUACAUGUGAAUGAAUAUGUCUAAAAGAGUAGUAAUCAGCAGUCAAAAGGUACAUCUGAGUGUGCUGAGUAUAUUUUUUUCUCCUUUUUUUUGAAUAAAGAUAAAUCUCAAGAGCAUUCUUGCGAAUACAGGAACAUGCAUAUCCACUUUGUUCCCAGCAGGCAACAAACCAGUCAAGUGCAGACCAAUUACAGAAUCGAUGUCUUCUUUAUCUGAAGUGGCUCUAGUUUAGAAGGGGAAGAUACUGUGCCUCACUGAUUCAGUUCAAGUACUAUCAGUCCAGCAGUGACCUGAUAUAUAUACUUUAUCAUGUACAUUGCAUCGCAUGACCCAAUAGUUGUGACCGGAUAGAAAUCAUAAUUAACUGGCAAUUAUAGCGGCAAACAGAAUGUGACCGUUUACUUAUGCCCUCUAAUCUCUCCUAGACUGUAGGGCGAGAAUUGACUAAGAAAUAUAAGGAUUCAAACUCAGGCAGAUGACAAAGAAACAGAACUAGAAACCUGAACAGCGCCCGCGCUCCCUCGGACGAGAUCCACCGUGUACCAUGAGAAAUACACCGACGAAUACAAAUACAAACGCAUGCCGGUAUAUUAAUUGGGGGUCAGAGGGCAGUGCGAGCGGUACCUCGUCGCUGGCCGUCGGAUUUCUGGCGGCGAUGAGGUGUUGAGGACGAAGACGGGGAGGGCGAGAAAAAUGGAACCGAAUCCUCUGACGUCUCCGUACAAGGAAUCUACGUCAGAGGGCACUCGAUGC